UACCCGCAGCUCAAGUGGUGGUCAUUAUUAUUGGGCCUAAAGCGUCCGUAGCUGGCUUGUUAGAUGCCUGGGUAAAUCGAUGCGCUUAACGUAUCGAAUUCCGGGUAGACCGGCAAGCUCGAGACCGGGAGAGGUGUAGGCUACUCGAGGGGUAGGGGUAAAAUCCUGUAAUCCUUCGGGGAGGACCAGUGGCGAAGGCGCUACACUAGAACGGCUCUGACAGUGAGGGACGAAGCUCUGGGGCGCAAACCGG
rnacentral:rRNA from 1 species